UACGUAGGGUGCAAGCGUUAAUCGGAAUUACUGGGCGUAAAGCGUGCGCAGGCGGUGAUGUAAGACAGAUGUGAAAUCCCCGGGCUCAACCUGGGAACUGGCAUUUGUGACUGCAUCGCUGGAGUGCGGCAGAGGGGGAUGGAUCCGCGUGUAGCAGUGAAAUGCGUAGAUAUCGAGAGGAACACCUGCGGCGAAGGCGGGUUGCUGGGCUGACACUGACGUGAGGCGCGAAAGCCAGGGGAGCGAACGGGG
rnacentral:rRNA from 1 species